GCUGCAUCAACUUGUAUACCAAAAAGCAUAGUGAAUGGAAAAAGAAAAAUGGUUCCAUGGUGGAAUAGUGAAUGUAAAAAUGCAAUAAAAGAAAGAAAUCGUGCAUUUAGAGUCCUAAGGAAGCAUUUGAGUCAAGACAAUUUGAUUGAUUACCAAAGAAAGAAAGCUAAGGCACGGAAAAUAAUUAAGUCAUCAAAGAAGAAUGCAUGGAGACAGUUCUGUUCAGCUAUUGGUAGAGAAAUAGAUCUGAAUGAUGUAUGGUCAAUGAUUAAAAAGAUGACUGGCAAAAGGAAAUCUGUUAAAAUCCCUGUGUUGGUAGAUGGAGAAUACUUGGCAAUAACAAACAAGGAGAAAGCUGACUUAUUAGGUAAGAAGUUUGCAAGUAUUCAUAGUGGAAGUCACUUAGAUGAAGUGCAUAAGCAACGGAAAGAGAAUAUUAUUAGGAAAUUUUAUGAUGUAUUAAGGAAAAAGGGCACUGACGAAUCAACACUAGACAUGGAAUUCACAAAGCAUGAGUUGAAAAUGGCCUUAGAGAAAAGUGGUUAUACGGCUCCAGGGCAAGACCAACUGUGUUAUGCUAUGUUUAGACAAUUACCAGACGAAUUUAUGGAAAUUAUACGAAUGCUGUUUAAUAAGAUAUGGAGAGAAGGCAAAUUGCCUCAUAACUGGAAAAGUGCUCUGAUAUUGCCUUUUAGUAAGCCUGGUAAAACCCCAGACAAUGCAGGGAAUUACAGGCCUAUAGCGUUAACAUCUCACUUGUGUAAAUGGAUGGAAAAGGUAAUAGUUCGUAGACUGUCAUAUCAUUUAGAACAGAAAGGAUUGAUGUGUGCACAACAAAGUGGUUUUCGUAAAGGUAGAUCUACAAUAGAUGCCCUAGUGAAAGUUAGUAAUGAAGCUGAAAAAGCAAUUAGUAUGAAAGAGGUCAUGAUUAUAGUAUACUUUGAUAUAGAGAAAGCAUAUGACUCAAUGUGGAGAGAAGGACUACUGAUUAAAUUACAUAAUAUGGGUAUUGGUGGAAGGAUGUAUAACUGGAUUUUAGACUUCUUAUCAAAUCGGACA
rnacentral:lncRNA from 1 species